AGACUGGCCUGCACAAUAUAGUGAAAGUCUGUCUCUACAAAAAAUAAAAAAAUUACCCAGGCAUGGUGAUGCAUGCCUGUGGUCCCAGCUACACGGGAGGCUGAGGUAGCAGAAUCACCUCAGCCCUGGAAGUGGAAGUUGCAGUGAGUCAUGAUUGUACUGCUGCACUCCAGCCUGGAUAACAGAGCGAGACCCUGUCUCAAAAAAAAAAAAAAAGUACUUGUCAGUGUCUACUACUGUGUGCUAAGCACUUUGCUUGAUUUUGCAGAAAUGGGGCAUAAAUAAGUCCCUGCCCUCAGAGAAGAAAAUAUGUUGGCUAGUGCUAAACAUUUUGCAAGUGCUUCAUGAAUAUUUAUUGCAUGAAUAGUUGAAUGUGGCCUUGUGGAACUGGAAUGCAGAGCUCAUGAAGGAGAACAGCAGAAGAUAAUGGUGAAAGGAAGGCAACUGGCAC
rnacentral:lncRNA from 1 species